rnacentral:rRNA from 1 species
GUGCCAGCCGCCGCGGUAAUACGGAGGGAGCUAGCGUUGUUCGGAAUUACUGGGCGUAAAGCGCACGUAGGCGGCGACUCAAGUCAGAGGUGAAAGCCUGGAGCUCAACUCCAGAACUGCCUUUGAAACUAGGUCGCUAGAAUCUUGGAGAGGCGAGUGGAAUUCCGAGUGUAGAGGUGAAAUUCGUAGAUAUUCGGAAGAACACCAGUGGCGAAGGCGACUCGCUGGACAAGUAUUGACGCUGAGGUGCGAAAGCGUGGGGAGCAAACAGGAUUAGAUACCCCCGUAGUCC